AUGUUGGGGACACUCCUCACUCUUUUCAGCACUGUGUCAUGUGUCAGUGGUGUGACUGUGGUUACACAGAAGCCUCCUGUUCUCACAGUGACUAAAGGACAGACAGUCACUAUGGACUGUAAUCUGGGGACUGUUACUAAUUAUCAUGCAGCGUGGUAUAAACAGGUUCCAGGAUCAGUAACUCAGCAUGUGAUAAGAUUUCGUCAUGGCUGGGGCUCUCCUUAUUAUGGCUCUGGCUUCUCCUCUUCUAAAUUCACAUCAAAGCACUCAUCCCAAUCAGAUUACAGUCUGAUCAUUAAUAAUGUGGAGGUGGGAGACUCUGCAGUGUAUUACUGUAACACCUGGGACGGCUCUGCUCAGGAGUGGGUAUCACAGUGA